rnacentral:lncRNA from 1 species
AUGAAUAGGACCACUCUACACUUAGGGAAUUUGGCCUUUUGUCAAGAUUUAUAUAAUAAAGGAGGCUGGAAGAUUCCGGAGGGAGAUUUUCCACUGUGCUGGGCACAGAUGGGGGCUUGUUCCCGGGAGGAGACGGGACGGGAAGAAGAGGUGGGGUGGCUCAUCGGCAAGGCGCUGCGCUCGCUGAUACCCAGCGACGAUGAGCUGUUUUGCUGUGUUUACUUUAUUUGUUAUGUCGAGCUGGCAGCGCUGAGUGCCGCAAUUGACCGAGCAGCCAAGCUGGCAGCGGAAAUGUCCAGACAGCCCAUGAACAGCGGCUUAAUGCAUGUGCAGGUACGGUAUGUAUUUAUAUCUGAAUGCAUAGUCUGUGUGUGUGCACAUGUGUUCCUGGGAAAGUUUCUGAGUGAGUGGCUAAUGCAUCUCAAUUACACCCCAGUCUGGAGCAACAGCCUCGCUAAAGAAUUGGAAAUCUGUAAAGAAUCCGCUGAAGUUAAAAACACCAUUUGGUUUCCUUCGCCGGAGGGACACUCAUCAAUAUCUCUUUCUGUUAAUAUCAGAGGGUUAAAGCCUUGGCAGGGUUCUCAGUCGCCAGAUGCAGGCAGAGUUCAGAUGCAGGCAGAGCUCUUUGUGAAAGGCAAUUUCACUGCCGGUGGGUUAAUGCCCCGAUUUUGCCUGACGCUGCAAGUUUUGGAAAAGCAGCGGAAAGGAGAUGGGUGUGCAGACUGCUGGCUUUCUCACUUCGUGCAUGUCCUGCGAGUGAACUGGCCUCUUGGUCCAUCUGCAUCAGGAUGGGUUUCCUGACAGCUUGCUCCCCGCUCAGGAUCAUGUAAAAACUUGGGUUCCCCAAAGUUAGAGACCGCUGCUUUGGCGUUUGUGCUGCAGCCCUGGGUAGUGCAGAGCGCUUGGCGAGCUGCAUUGGAGGAGCUCAGGAACAGGGAGAAACAAAUUUCCUCCACCAGCCUCCAUCGAUUCCCACGUGGCGAGGGAGGAGGAGAUCCUGACUCGGCCUCAACCUUUGCCCUGCUCCAUCCUGCCUCAAAACCACGAGCCGCUUACCCACGGUUACGCAGCAACUCGCUGGCUUCACAUUAAGUGCCUGAACCGCCCCUGACGGCGUGGUGGCUGUAUUCCCGUCUCCCCAGCGAGGAAUUUCCCCCCGGUGCUGCCCAGUCGGGCGGUGUGCUGCUGUCUGACACCAGCAGCUGCCUGCAGCCCGCGCUGCCGCAGGGUGCGCGCCACAGACGGGGACACCUGGUCGGAGCAAAGCCCCUGGGCUUUGCAGCCCGAGCGUGGACAUCUGCUCCGAGCUGAAAGCUGGCACUUAGAAGGGUUUUGGCUUUAGGAGGAAUAUAUUUACUUUGUACUGCCUUUUUUUUUUUUUUUUUUUUUUUUUUAAGGAUGGGGAAGCCCAAGCAACUAUUUUUUCUGGUAACAGCAGAGCAUGGCGGGGGGUCUGUGGGGAAGCCCCCCCCCCCCCCCGCCAGUGCAGCUGGUUACUUGUAUAACAUUUUCCUAUAGCAGGGAAAAAAAAUAUGCUUUAUUUCCUCCUCUUGUUCCUCCCUGUCCCACAGCACUCAAACAAACAAACAAACAAACAAAAACAAACACCAUGUUUUUUGAUUCUAAAAACCAAAGAUAUUUCCAUGCAGUUGUGGAAAAAGCUCUGUCUUCAGGAUAACUUCUGUCCUUCUCAAGAGGUUCUGCCACAAAAUCUCUCGGUGUUACUGCCUUUUGCCAGCCAUGGCUAAACUUGAUCCCGUAGUGCUGCAGGCUUUGCUUUCCCAGAGUGACCUCCAGGCAGCCAGCUCUGAUAGCAGACCAAAGGUUGACUUGUUGGGAGCAAGUAUGAGGUUGAAAUGUGGAUCUGUGCCCUUUUAACAUGGAAAAAUGUAGCUGUGACCACUGUGUGAAGGGACCUGGUGAUGUGACCGUGCCAGGGGUAGGAUGCUGGAGCCAGAGCUGGAGCCUCGCUGAGCGGGGGGAGCAGAGCACAGAUGCUGCAUGGGGACGGAGCCGCUGUCCCCUGCGGUGAGCCUGGAGCCAGCCUCCAAUUGGAGCUCUGGUUGUGGGGCUGGGCUGGGAUCCUGCCCUCACUCUGUGAACAGCUUGAGCAAGGUCCCACAAGGAUAGAAAAAGCUUAUUUCUCUUUUCUGGGAAUUUUCUUGGGUCUUUUCAAGUGAUGUCCAGGUACCAUAGGGAGGAAUGGCUGACAACCAGUGUCUUCUGUAAGAGCGGGGUGGGUUGAGGGGUGCUCCUGGCCUCCACCCAAGCCUGGUUCCCCCGUUGUCCCUCAGCACACCGUGGAGACCCCGAGACCUUCUGGGGUCUGCAGGCCAGAAGAUCCUGGAAGGAGGAGCAGGGGUCCAGAGGGGUGAGAGGGGAGAGGCCCUCAGGACAGGGAGGCUGGAGCCCCCAAAGGACACCGCAGUUGAGAGAUGGGAGGAAAGUGGGGCAGGGAAGACGGGCAGGUGUCUGGCUGUUCAGUCCAGCAAUACAUUCUUACCAUAGCUGUGGAAAAAAACACAAAAGAGAGCAUGUGGUGCCUGCCCUCCCUCUGCUUGGCUCUGCACAGAGCUGAUGUCUGCUCGCUCGCAUGGCGUUAUGCAUUGUCUGGUAAUUACAAAAACAUGAAUGUGGGACUCCAAGUACCGAGCAGGCAGCACGAAGCCCGCAGCAGUCCCAUGUGCGCUCUCCUGCUUCCCACCAGGACAUAACAGCCCCGUUGGAGAGCCUCCUGCUUAGUAUAAAGUUCCCAGUCCUUAGCAGGGGUCCUUCCUCGUAGGGUCCUUUCAGCAGGAUUAGCUGGGUGGCACAGCUCCCUCAGUACGUGGUGAUCUAGCCCGAAAUUCAAAAGGGCCCGGGGCUACUGCUUGUUUAGUGCCAAGAGCCAAAGGGGCUUGAUGGGAGCCAGUGUAAAUGCUGGGGCUGUCUUGGCAUGAAUGCUGCGGGCUGAACUAGGGCUUGCCAUUUGUUCCUCCCUAUUAUCUGUACCAUCCCGGGUCCCCUGUGAGCUGUCUCCUUGGGGAAAUUGUUAAUUAGCUCUUACUGGGUGGCAUCAAUUUGUUUUUUUCGCAUGGCUUUCCUCUGGUUUAGCUUCCAAAGCAGGCACGCAGUGGGUGAGGCAGCUGGGGAAUGGGGCUGGGAUGUGCUGGGUGCAGCGGGGAGCCAAAGGUUCGGGCCACCAGCACAACCCCUCCUGAUGGGAUACGGUGAGUCCAGAAGGUGUGGAGGGACUGGCAGCCGUGAGGUUAGGGCUGCGGGUGGAAUAGUCCCAAUAGCCUGGGAAGCUGAAACGAUGCACGUUUUAACACAGCCAGUGGCAUGGCAAAUGUCUGCAAAGGCACUCGUGCGUCCUGGCAGGAGCGCUGGGCCUUGGCGAAAAGGGUUAACGCCGUCAAAGUGUGUUUGUGUGUGAGCCCCGGGUGCGUACGGGGUGAGGGUCAGUCAAUUCCUGCUGAUUUCCAGGGACAGCUAAACAGACACAUCUGGACAAGCCUGAGAGGAUUAUCAGAGGAAACAAGAAGUGUAUAUGAGACAGAUACGUUCUGGGAAACCAUCCAAACAGGUCAGAAAAAGGAUCAAGUGAGAGUCAUCAGAUGGCUGCUUCUGACCUCAAACGCUUAAUCUUGCAGGUAUGCAAACUUCCAGUCGUGGGAGAGCUACAGGGCUAGUUUUAAGGUCUUCUUUUAUUUUCCCAUCAAUUUUCGUACCAGUUUAUCGGCCUCUGUGUCAACAUCAUCACUUCUAACCCCUCUCCUUCAGUUUGCAAUCACAGGCUAUCUCCAGGGUAAGCAAAGGGGUGAGGAGCAUCUUCUAGCACCACCAAGCUAAUAAAAUACAUUGGUGCUCAUACUGUGGGUGAUUU